rnacentral:misc_RNA from 1 species
UCCGGUUUGGCACCGGCAGUCCUCCCAGAGUCCCCGCCAUGACGCGCUGGCAACUAAGGACAAGGGUUGCGCUCGUUGCGGGACUUAACCCAACAUGUCACCACACGAGCUGACGACAGCCAUGCAGCACCUGUCUCCCUGCUGUAUUGCUACAGAGAUUGUAUUUCUACAACUGUCAGGGGAUGUCAAACCCAGGUAAGGUUCUUCGCGUUGCUUCGAAUUAAACCACAUGAUCCACCGCUUGUGCGGGCCCCCGUCAAUUCCUUUGAGUUUUAGUCUUGCGACCGUACUUCCCAGGCGGGGUACUUAUCGCGUUAGCUCCGGUCCGGCAGGGGUCAAUACCCACCUGACCUAGUACCCAUCGUUUACAGCGUGGACUAC